rfam:Myotis davidii contig165361, whole genome shotgun sequence.
GCCAGUGUUGCUAAGUGGGUAGAGCAUUGAUCUUUGGAUUGAAGGAUCUUGGGUUCAAUUCCCAGUCACGGGCA